CCUACGGGAGGCAGCAGUGGGGAAUAUUGCACAAUGGGGGAAACCCUGAUGCAGCUAUGCCGCGUGUGUGAAGAAGGCCUUUGGGUUGUAAAGCACUUUCAGCGGGGAAGAAGCUUACAGUGCUAAUAACUCUGUAAAUUGACGCUACCCGAAGAAGAAGCACCGGCUAACUCCGUGCCAGCAGCCGCGGUAAUACGGAGGGUGCAAGCGUUAGUCGAAAUUACUGGGCGUAAAGAGUACGCAGGCAGCCUGUUAAGUCAGAUGUGAAAUCCCCAGGCUCAACCCGGGAACUGCAUCUGAAA
rnacentral:rRNA from 1 species